UUGCAGUUAAAAAGCUCGUAGUUGGAUUUCUGGUUGAAAGCCGCCGCCCUCCCGCGAGUGCGCGGAGGCUUUCUUCCAUCCUUCUGUUAAACCUUCUCGGUCUUUGUUGGCCGGUUGGCAGCCCAGAUAUUUUACCUUGAGAAAAUUAGAGUGUUUCAGGCAGGCUUGCGCCCGGAUACAUUAGCAUGGAAUAAUGGAAUAGGACUUUUGCCUCUUCUGUUGGUCUGAGGGGUCGAAGUAAUGAUUAACAGGGAUAGUUGGGGGCAUUAGUACUUAACUGUCAGAGGUGAAAUUCUUGGAUUUGUUAAAGACUAACUUAUGCGAAAGCAUUUGCCAAGGAUGUUUUCAUUAAUCAAGAACGAAAGUUAGGGGAUCAAAGACGAUCAGAUACCGUCCUAGUCUUAACCAUAAACUAUGCCGACUCGGGAUCGGGUGCGUGAGUUAUCCGCUUUCGGCACCGUAUGA
rnacentral:rRNA from 1 species